CGCAAGGAAGAUCGAGGGAUGCAUAACCUGUUCUCCUUAAAAAGAAAGUCAUCAUGUAUCAAGAACCCAUCAGUAGGCUGGUGAGUCUGGACUCUAGCCCAUAUAUCAGCAAAAUCAUCAUCUGUAGCAUACAAAUCCUUCAGGAAUUCAAAACCUACAACCUCCUGAUUAACUGUAAUCAACAGAGCAGCCCUCCUACUCAAAGCAUCUGCCACCUUAUUACUAUGGCCAGCCUUAUGUUUGAUGACAUAAUGAAAGGCUCCAAAGUAAGCUGCCC
rnacentral:lncRNA from 1 species